GCAUAAUUAAAAUGGGUUAAUGAGGAUCAAUGAACAUGAAUAACAUUGGAUCAUGGGUGAAGUGGCAUUGGAGGGGUGUGUGGCGAUGGAAUUGCAUGGGCCUGAGGCCCAAGCCUUCCCCAAAAAACCAAGAACUGGGUUUAAACAAAGGCCAAACAAACCGUUCUUACAAGCCACCGAUUCAAAGCGCGAAAUGGAUCCGACGCGGGGAGCUUCUUCCCUAACCUAGAUCCCCAAUCGCAUACGCCACCAUGAACGGAUCCAAGUUCUGCUGAAAACUUCCCAUCUCUUUCCCCAUGUCAACGAAUGUUCUUGAACCUCACGCGUAUCUCCCUUCAAAAACCAGAUACGGACCAUAACGGCGUGGCCAAGAAGCGGUUACGGCGGAACCGUCAUAGACCUAUCCCCCAAAAGCGAACGAAUAUAAACGACGAGGUGAUGCCAUCUCGAAUCGCCCUCGGAACAUGGAGGAAGAACUGUGUACAAAUGGACGACCGCGACUGGAGAAAGCUUACCGGGCGGCCCCGACGAUGACUUCGGGUUCUAUUUGGAGUUUUGGUUCUGCUGCCAGUUUUGCAGGUUUUUUCGGGAGUUGCUAGUUUUGUGGUGAGAACUUGGUUUUGAAUGAGUUCUCAUGGAAGCAAUUUCGAUGAUGAUAGCGUUGUUUUUUUAGUCAACAUUUUAGUUGCUUGGUUAGCUAAAUCACGCUCAACAGGAUCCAAGGUCCACAACAACACAGGUUUCUCAAAAUCACUUGAAAGUUAUUUGUCUAAAUCUUUAAGAAGAUAUUCUCCAUGUGUUUGAGCAUAAGUCUCACGAAUUGCCUUAAGAUGGGAUGUAUUUCUAUGAGUCAGGAUCGAUAUUAUCAAGCCUUCAUUCGUUCCCCAUCCUUGAAAAGCACCACGUAAUUGUUCACUGUCUUCUAAUGGAUGAGGAACGUGAGAGGAGAUCUUCAAUGUCGCCACUCUGAAUGUGUUGUGUUCAGGAUCGAGGAUGUGCCGUCUCCGGUUGGUAUUAGAAGGCGGUUGAAUAAGUUAGGAAAAAAAUGUUAUUCUAACAGUUGGUUUACCCUACUAUAGGAUGGUUAUGAAGAUUAGAGGUCUUUAUUGGUCCAAUUUUUGUUCAUUUCUAUUUAAGGUUCUUUUGAUAUGCUUUUCCUGAGAAUUCUCCCUUCCCUGCUUUCUGUUUGAAAUUGUUGAAUUGCUAUCUCCGAAGUUGUUCUUUAUUAUGCCAAGGCCGACGUAUUGCGGUUAUGUUACUUAAUUGUCGAUGUUAGCUAAACACUAGAAUUGUGAGAACCACUGCUGCUAAUGGGGCAUUGAUGAAAUGAUUUAUUAUGCUAA